rnacentral:rRNA from 1 species
AACGAACGCUGGCGGCGCGCCUAACACAUGCAAGUCGAACGAGAAGGCGUAGCAAUACGCUUGUAGAGUGGCGAACGGGUGAGUAAUACGUGGGUGACCUACCCUCGAGUGGGGAAUAACCCGCCGAAAGGCGGGCUAAUGCCGCGUACGCUUCCGUCCUCACGGGGACGGAAGGAAAGCUGUACCGUGGGUACGGCGCUCAAGGAUGGGCUCACGUCCUAUCAGCUUGUUGGUAGGUAACGGCCACCAAGGCUACGACGGGUAGCUGGUCUGAGAGGACGAUCAGCCACACUGGCACUGCGACACGGGCCAGACUCCUACGGGAGGCAGCAGUGAGGAAUAUUGCGCAAUGGGCGAAAGCCUGACGCAGCGACGCCGCGUGGGGA